GCACACUUGGUGUAGUGGUAGCGCUCUAGACUUUGGAUCUAGAGGUCGCGGGUUCGAAUCCUACCGAGGUCA
rnacentral:tRNA from 1 species